GGCGAGGGCUAAACGGGCGGAAUGAACUGGGAGUAAGAUGCUGCCGAGUCCGGGCGAAAAGCAACGCAUGCUGUUGGACAGGAUACGAGCUUGAAGUCUGGACGGAUCUGGCUGAGAAGAUAACAGGGCCACUGGAAGAAGCCCUGGCAGUGGCUUUCUCGCAGGUGCUCACCAUCGCGGCCACGGAACCGGUCACCCUCCUGCACUCCAAGCCCCCCAAGCCCACGCAGGCCCGUGGAAAGCCUUUGCUCCUGAGCGCCCCUGGAGGACAGGAAGACCCCGCCCCUGAAAUACCUAGCUCUGCCCCUGCUGCACCUAGCUCCGCAC
rnacentral:lncRNA from 1 species